GAACCAGUCUCGCUGAGUCUCCCGCAUGGGAGAACGGGGGAACCAAUACUGGAGCGGGUCAUGAUAGACCGGAAGCGGUCCCGUGCUCGCAAGCGUAUUUGAUUUCUUUUUUGGGUCUCUGGGGUGAAUUGAACGGCUUUACGCCAUGAGCGUAAGGACGCGAAUAGGGCGGCUCUCUUUCGCCCGAACCCGACAGCUAACCCCGUAAGCGGAUAAAGAGAGGUACC
rnacentral:sRNA from 1 species